rnacentral:rRNA from 1 species
GACGAACCGUGCGAACGUUGUUCGGAAUCACUGGGCUUAAAGGGCGCGUAGGCGUGAUUGCAAGUCGGUCGUGAAAUCCUUCGGCUCAACCGAAGAACGUCGAUCGAUACUGCUGUUCUUGAGGGUUGCAGAGGAGACUGGAAUUCCCGGUGUAGCGGUGAAAUGUGUAGAGAUCGGGAGGAACACCGGUGGCGAAGGCGGGUCUCUGGGCAAUUCCUGACGCUGAGGCGCGAAAGCGUGGGGAGCAAACGGG